rnacentral:rRNA from 1 species
GUGGGGAAUCUUCCGCAAUGGACGAAAGUCUGGCGGAGCAACGCCGCGUGAGUGAAGAAGGUUUUCGGAUCGUAAAGCUCUUUCGUUAGGGACGAACGUGCUCUUUGUGAAUAAUGAGGAGUAAUGACGGUACCUAAAUAAGAAGCCACGGCUAACUACGUGCCAGCAGCCGCGGUAAUACGUAGGUGGCAAGCGUUGUCCGGAAUUAUUGGGCGUAAAGCGCGCGCAGGCGGGAUAUCAAGUCUGUCUUAAAAGUGCGAGGCUCAACCUCGUGAGGGGACAGAAACUGGUAUUCUUGAGUGUCGGAGAGGAAAGUGGAAUUCCAAGUGUAGCGGUGAAAUGCGUAGAGAUUUGGAAGAACACCAGUGGCGAAGGCGACUUUCUGGACGAUGUCUGACGCUGAGGCGCGAAAGCUAGGGGAGCGAACGGGAUUAGAUACCCGUGUAGUCC